UGAUUUCACACUGUCAAGAAAAGUCUCUAUCGAGGUUAAAGGUACCCGUACCGCAAACCGACACAGGUGGGUGAGGAGAGUAUCCUAAGGCCCGCGAGAGAACUGUUGUUAAGGAACUCGGCAAAAUGACCCCGUAACUCAGGGAUAAGGGGUGCCACCCUCCGGUGGCCGCAGAGAAUAGGCCCAAGCGACUGUUUACCAAAAACAUAGGUUUCUGCUAAGUCGCAAGACGAUGUAUAGGAGCUGACGCCUGCCCGGUGCUGGAAGGUUAAGGGGAUCUGUUAGAGCAAUCGAAG
rnacentral:rRNA from 1 species